GACGAACCGUGCGAACGUUAUUCGGAAUCACUGGGCUUAAAGCGCGUGUAGGCGGGUCGGCACGUCGGUCGCUGAAAUCCCCCGGCUCAACCGGGGAACGGGCCCCGAUACGACCGACCUGGAGGGGGGUAGGGGGAGCCGGAACUUCCGGUGGAGCGGUGAAAUGCGUUGAGAUCGGAAGGAACGCCCGUGGCGAAAGCGGGCUCCUGGACCCCACCUGACGCUGAGACGCGAAAGCCAGGGAGGCGAACGGG
rnacentral:rRNA from 1 species